rnacentral:lncRNA from 1 species
CCGGUGAUUGCACGAGACAUAGACAGUAUUCUAUUUCGGCCCUGGGCUUGGAGCUUAAUUUUAUUUUCUAAGGCAUGUUGUCGAAUUGCGGAACUGCCACUGCAAAAUCUACCCACAUAGCACAUGCGGCCGUAAAUGAAAACUUUUCGUAUCCUUUUCUUCCGAAAGAUGUGCUUUUGAAACGGGACUUAGAAAGCCCAGUCCAUACCUUCGCUUUGGCAACAAAAAGUGAUUAAAAUUUGCUCGCCCAAAAGUGUUACAAAGACCAAGGAGAUCGAAUGUGGCAGAAGUUGUGACUACACACAUUCCAGUCGAGACGUAUGGACCAACGAAGCACCCGCGCGGAGCGGCAUGGCACGGCGUCUCAAACAGGCUGAUGCCCAGCCGGGCGCCGAUACGCGCAUACUCGCUGCCGCGCCUACCACCCCAUCCCCGCAUUCAUAAUUGGACCCUUGAACUGGGGUUGCAUGUGUUGCUGACUCGCACCCGCAAGCAACAACAGUCAGCGUCAGUUUCGUGCUUGCUUCCUGAUCGUUCUCAUUCCUCAGGAGGGGAAAACGGCCACGAUGUGCGUCAAAUACAAAUGAUGAUGUCGCAUGAACUUGAGCUUUGCAAUCAACCCGCUGCUUGCAUGUCAAUGUAAUCGUUGUCGGGGACCAAAACCACACUCCAUUUUACGGCCCGCCGUGCUGUAGCUUCUGCAGGCGUUCUAUGGGGUGGCGUUUCCCUCGGCGGAUCAAGUCACUGCGUCGCCCCAUCACG